UGUUAAUGGGGUCAUGCUUUUUUAAGGAGAUUUGAAAUGCUUGUUUGAUGUGACUUUGAUCCUGACUGACAGUUUCAAGCUUGUUGACUUCUUUCCACCAUCGACCGAGGCGCCCAUGUGUUGCAACACAUCAGGCUGGGGGACAGACGGCCCAAGGAGAGUAUCCAGGGUCCAGUGACAGAGCACAAACCUUUCAUUCAGACCAGGCAGGAGGCUGAAGCAAAGAGCCAUCCCCAGUCUCUCCACAGUGCCAAGCAGGGCUGCAACACUGCCAGCUUCUCCAGACUGGCUUUCAGAGGCUCAAAGAAAGGGUUUGAUGAGGAGGACUCGGAAGCACCGAGGCAUCUGGCAGCAGCAGCCCUUCCCUCCACAUCCUGAGGGCCAGCAGAACUGCACUGUGGCGGCCAGAGGAGGGAAACAAGGUGCACACUGUGAUCUAAACACAGACUGAGGAGGGGGGGUGGUUCAGGUUACCCCUUCGGUAGGUGUUUCGCCACAGAGAAGCUCACUGUGAAGAGGAGAAGGGUGGAGGUGGGUAGAUGUGGUGCAAUUGUAAGUUUACACAGAACAAAAGGAUUUUAAUUGAUGAAAUUGCACCAGCAUGUUAGAGCAAUCCCCAAAUGCUCCCUCUCCCUGAUAGACAGCUUUUUCUUUCUGACUGCGAUACUGUAAAAGUACCAGAUGCUCUCACACUGACAUCAGAGUCUGUGAAUUUGUCAGGUAUACAUUAUCUCACUCUAACUCAAUUAUACUUCAUAUGAUACUUCUGGCCUUAGUGUACAUUUAGUUGAAUGUACUGUACAUUUUAGUUAAGUGCAGUCAUGCAGACAGGACUGAAGCAAUCACCUACAUGACCCUUCCUAAAUGGAAAUGAUUAGUGAAAACUAGAGCAUGCCUCCGGAGAUAAGGCAGUGACUUGUAGUCAUUGUAGCAUGAGUUAUGUACAGCACACAGAGGUUUUUUUUAAUGGUUAGAGUGAUGUAAAUUGUUGCCAGACCAUACAGUACAGUACAGCACCUUGUUCACCAAUUCUGUUACACACUGUCUCCAUAAUAAGUCGAUAUAAAGUGAUGAUAAUGACCUAAUGCUUGUGUGUAGGGUGUUUAUUAUUGUAUUACAACAUACAAUGUUGGUGAAGUUAAAGGAACUGUUCUACAUUUGGGUAAAUAUGCUUAUUUGCUUUCUUACAUCUAACUCUUAGCAAGAAAUGUUGAACUAUUCCUCCAAUAUUAGGACAACUUGGACAAUGUGUAUUGUAUAAUCAAAAACAUAUCUUCAUUGUGUUUACAUUUCAAAUCAAUCUUUCAUGAAGUGUAUCUAUUAAAAGCUUAGCUAAAGCAUUUGGACAUUUCACUUGCCACAAAUGGA